rnacentral:tmRNA from 1 species
GGGGGCGACCGGCUUCGACGCAGGUCGCGAAGCCUUCGGUGCAUGCAGAGCUGCGGUUCGCUCUUAAAACUGGUCGCAAGUCAAUAAUUGCCAACGACAGCAAUUACGCCCUCGCUGCUUAAGCAGUGAGCCCUCCGCCCGGAUUGGUCCGUGGGUCCGGUGGCCGCAAGGCCUGCGGGGGGUCGACUCACACGGAAUCGUGGUCUCCCUAGCCUGUGGGGCGACUGCUAAAACAAAGCAGGAUCGCCAAACCGAAAUCUUGUUUGUCGGAGUUCGGGGCGGUUAAAAAGAAAAGACAAACUAUGCAUGUAGAUCCGGUGGUCUAGGUACUGCGGACGCGGGUUCAAUUCCCGCCGCCUCCACCA